rnacentral:rRNA from 1 species
GACGAACGCUGGCGGCGUGCUUAACACAUGCAAGUCGAACGAUGAUCUCCCGCUUGCGGGGGUGAUUAGUGGCGAACGGGUGAGUAAUACGUGAGUAACCUGCCCUUGACUCUGGGAUAAGCCUGGGAAACCGGGUCUAAUACUGGAUACUACUUCCUGCCGCAUGGUGGGGGGUGGAAAGGGUUUUACUGGUUUUGGAUGGGCUCACGGCCUAUCAGCUUGUUGGUGGAGUAAUGGCUCACCAAGGCGACGACGGGUAGCCGGCCUGAGAGGGUGACCGGCCACACUGGGACUGAGACACGGCCCAGACGCCUACGGGAGGCAGCAGGGGGGAAUAUUGCACAAUGGGCGGAAGCCGGAUGCAGCGACGCCGCGUGAGGGAGGACGGCCUUCGGGUUGGAAACCUCUUUCAGCAGGGAAGAAGCCACAAGUGACGGUACCUGCAGAAGAAGCGCCGGCUAACUACGUG